rnacentral:rRNA from 1 species
UACGUAGGGGGCAAGCGUUGUCCGGAAUCAUUGGGCGUAAAGAGCGUGUAGGCGGCUCGGUAAGUCCGCUGUGAAAGUCCAGGGCUCAACCCUGGAAUGCCGGUGGAAACUGUCGAGCUAGAAUCCGGAAGAGGCGAGUGGAAUUCCUGGUGUAGCGGUGAAAUGCGCAGAUAUCAGGAGGAACACCUGUGGUGUAGACAGCUUACUGGACCACUUCUGACGCUGAGACACGAAAGCGUGGGUAGCAAACAGG